rnacentral:rRNA from 1 species
UACAGAGGUGCCAAGCGUUAGGCGGAAUCACUGGGCUUAAAGCGUGUGUAGGCGGAUCGUUAAGUGCCUUGUGAAAUCCCACGGCUUAACUGUGGAACGGCUGGGCAUACUGGCGGUCUUGAGCCAUCUAGGGGCGACUGGAACAAACGGUGGAGCGGCGAAAUGCGUAGAUAUCGUUUGGAACGCCAAUGGUGAAAACAGGUCGCUGGGGAUGAGCUGACGCUGAGACACGAAAGCCAGGGGAGCAAACGGG